rnacentral:rRNA from 1 species
GAUGAACGCUAGCGGCAGGCCUAACACAUGCAAGUCAGGGGUAACAUAGAAAAGCUUGCUUUUCUGAUGACGACCGGCGCACGGGUGCGUAACGCGUAUACAACCUACCUUUUAGCGGGGAAUAGCCCAGGGAAACUUGGAUUAAUGCCCCAUAGUAUAUGGACUUCUCCUGAAGUUUAUAUUAAACAUUUAUGGCUAUUAGAUGGGUAUGCGUCCUAUUAGUUAGUUGGUAAGGUAACGGCUUACCAAGGCAGCGAUAGGUAGGGGUCCUGAGAGGGAGAUCCCCACACUGGUACUGAGACACGGACCAGACUCCUACGGGAGGCAGCAGUGAGGAAUAUUGGACAAUGGGCGAGAGCCUGAUCCAGCCAUGCCGCGUGCAGGAAGACUGCCCUAUGGGUUGUAAACUGCUUUUACAGAGGAAGAACCACCCCCACGUGUGGGGGUUUGACGGUACUCUGCGAAUAAGGAUCGGCUAACUCCGUG